rnacentral:rRNA from 1 species
UACGUAGGGUGCAAGCGUUAAUCGGAAUUACUGGGCGUAAAGGGCUCGUAGGCGGCCAACUAAGUCGGAUGUGAAAUCCCCAGGCUUAACCUGGGAACUGCAUCCGAUACUGGAUGGCUUGAAUCCGGGAGAGGGAUGCAGAAUUCCAGGUGUAGCGGUGAAAUGCGUAGAUAUCUGGAGGAACACCGGUGGCGAAGGCGGCAUCCUGGACCGACACUGACGCUGAGGAGCGAAAGCCAGGGGAGCAAACGGG